rnacentral:rRNA from 1 species
AGAGUUGAUCAUGGCUCAGGAUGAACGCUAGCGACAGGCUAACACAUGCAAGUCGCGGGGCAGCAUAGAAGUAGCAAUACUUGGUGGCGACCGGCGCACGGGUGAGUAACGCGUAUGCAACCUACCUAUCAGAGGGGAAUAACCCGGCGAAAGUCGGACUAAUACCGCAUAAAACAGGGGCACCGCAUGGUGAUAUUUGUUAAAGAAAUUCGCUGAUAGAUGGGCAUGCGUUCCAUUAGGUAGUUGGUGAGGUAACGGCUCACCAAGCCGACGAUGGAUAGGGGAACUGAGAGGUUGGUCCCCCACACUGGUACUGAGACACGGACCAGACUCCUACGGGAGGCAGCAGUGAGGAAUAUUGGUCAAUGGGCGGGAGCCUGAACCAGCCAAGUCGCGUGAAAGGAAGAAGGAUCUAUGGUUCGUAAACUUCUUUUGCAGGGGAAUAAAGUGCAGGACGUGUCCUGUUUUGUAUGUACCCUGAGAAUAAGGAUCGGCUAACUCCGUGCCAGCAGCCGC